GAGGAUAGUGGAAUUUCGUGUGUAGAGAUAAAAUUCACAGAUAUACGAAGGAACACCAAAAGCGAAGGCAGCUUUCUGGGUCUCUACUGACGCUGAGGUGCGAAAGCAUAGGGAGCAAACAGGAUUAGAUACCCUGGUAGUCUAUGCCGUAAACGAUGAGUGUUCGUCCUUGGUCUGCGCUGUAUGCAAAACGGCUGAUCAGGGGCCCAGCUAACGCGUUAAACACUCCGCCUGGG
rnacentral:rRNA from 1 species